ACCCUUUUCAUCGUACUGGAUUAGGAAUGCUUGCUUGUACCUGGUGCUGAUGGUUGGGGUUCUGCAGACUUGGCAGAGAUCGUGAAUUUUCUCGGUAUCAUGCAAAGCGAUUCAGUUGAGAGGAAUGCAACUCUUUGUUCUUUGAGGCUUACUUUUCUUUAGUGUUAGAUUUUGUUACAUAUCUGCUGUGUGACGAGAAUUGCAAACUCAGAUUCAGCGGGUGCCAUCUUUUGUGGUGUUGCAUGCCAGAGGCAGGCAGUUGGAGCUUCUCCGUCUAAUUGUUAACUUGGUGGAAGCUAGCUGCUAUACCGACAACCUAGAGUGAAGCCAAAUCAGGAGCUUGGAUGAUGUCAGGUUGAAUCUCGAGGUUCUCAAGUACUUGUGAUGAAUAGUUCAGUGAAAUGUACAAAGGGAUAACCUUGGAUGCAGUACUGGAGCAUAGGCGGGACACUACUGAUGCAAUUGCUGAUCAACAUCUUUGGCUUCACGGUUAUUCAUGGAAACUGGAUGUGGCAAUGAAACAAAAGGAGUUGCACUGGUUGGGAGGCAUGGAGAGUUCAAGUACUAUCUGGGAUACUACUUACAUUGCUAAUAAGUUAACGUCUGGUCCUAAUACUAGGAUUCCCAGCUAUCUUAGUUUCAAGCCCUGUAUGCUGAUUUGAUUGAAGGUGGAAAUGGGACUCCUUUUGGUGCUUAAGUAAUAACUCAAUGAUAGCGGGAACUGGUUGAAUUAUCAAUAUACAUUUGGGCAUAGAGCAUGAGGAUGUAUGAAACUUCUGAACACUUUCAGGUUGUCGGACAAACUGCAACUAUGAACAGUAUGCCUCAUUUGACUCUUGUGGGGGUAGAGCGAUAAAAUAAACAUGUCAUCACUAGGCGAGUUCAAACACUGGAUGGCAAGGCGAUCAUCUAUUUGAAUACACUUAUUCGUUUCAAGGAGGUAGAAGGCGGUGCAGAAGCUGCAGUUUUGACCCCACUUGUGCUAGCCAAUUUUUUUUCUUUGAGAUUUGUGCCAGCCAAUUUGGGUAUGAGUGAUGCUCACGGAGGCCAUUCUACGAUAGCUGAUGGACUGUCAUGUCUAUAAAUUCUUAUAUAGCUGACAAUUCAAUCAUGAAAUGCUAGGGCUCCAUGGAAGGAAAAGGAAAAUGCGUCUGCAAAAUCAGUAGAUUUUGUGAUGGAAGGAUUGGUAGAUUUGAUAUUAUCUUACAACCUAUAAGAACACCGAAUGUGUGAAACAACAUUCGUUAUUGUCCAGCAACGCGACCAUAAAUCCACAAUGAUUGCAACACUGUAUUUAUUUGACCAUAUAUUUUCAGAAUAUUUCAUGUUUUGUUUAUAUAUACUUAUGAUACUUACUUUAAGUUUGAAACGUGCGUUGCACGUG